CUCUCUCUCUCUAAGCUUUCUUUUGUGUGUCUUUGAUCCACGAACGCCCUGCCCACGCAUGCCCUCGCUCUCUCUCUCUGAAGCUCGGUUGACGACUAUUUGUCGAACGUGAGGAUUCCUUGCCUGAUUCAAUGUAUUUGGUUGUAAAAUGAUGGAAGACGUGUUUCAGAAAAGAUUUGGCUGCAGCACAAGUUAGAAUAUAGUGGUUGUAGGUGAUCAGCUCUCAGAAGUAAAUAAGGUUAUAUAUAUGAUGCCCUCUUAUGCCUGAUUACUUCCUACACCAUACAAUGGUUGGUGUGGCUAUUCAUGAGUUUGCGGGUGGUGGUUAUGGUUAAACACAGGAAUUAUGAGAUCCCGAUUGUCUUAAGGGUAAGCUGAUGAAUGGUUAGGAAAUAUCAGGGAAAAGGCUUUCCAAGAAUUCGGGGCAAGGGAAUGAAGAAUUAAAAAAUGAGGUUUUGUUGAUUGCAAAACUUCAACACAUGAAUCUUGUUAGGAUUAUCAAAUUGGCAGUUAUCUGCCAAUUGUUUUCUUUGGUGUAGGCCACAUGAUGAGUGGAUGAGCCUAAUUUUUAUGUUGAGCAUUCUUCGUGGUGGGGGCCAAACCUUUUGGACGAGUGGGAUGCUGUACACAUUUGACACUUUGGAAUUUAUGCUCUAGGUGGAUGGUAAAUUAUUUUCUAACUAGUCAUGUGUGAGGCUGCCUCUUUAAAUUAUUAUAUUUUAAAUGUUAAAGAUAUAUACUUUUGUCAUUGUAGAUUCUUUUCAUUGACUAAUAGUCGGGUACAAAAUGCAACUUCUAUAGUUUUCUUUUAUUUAUUUAUUUAUAUGCAUGUUGGUUUUAUGGAAGUUGAAAUCUUGAAAAUGUUGGUAUAGCUGUUGCAGGAAAAAACCUUGAAAAGUUAAUAAUGAUUUUGAGGCUUCAUUGUU